rnacentral:rRNA from 1 species
GGCAUAAUACAUGCAAGACGAACGGUAAGUUUGGUAGCAAUACUGAACCUAGAGUGUCGUACGGGUGCGUAACACGUAUGCAACCUACCUUUUACAGGAGUAUAGCUCCCCGAAAGGGGAAUUAACCCUCCAUAAUAUCAUUGGAUGGCAUCAUUUGAUGAUUAAAACUGAGGUGGUAAAAGAUGGGCAUGCGACUGAUUAGUUAGUUGGCAGUGUAACGGACUACCAAGACGAUGAUCAGUAGGGGACCUGAGAGGGUGAUCCCCCACACUGGCACUGAGAUACGGGCCAGACUCCUACGGGAGGCAGCAGUAGGGAAUAUUGGACAAUGGGUGAGAGCCUGAUCCAGCCAUGCCGCGUGCAGGAAGAAGGCGUUAUGCGUUGUAAACUGCUUUUGCCAGGGGGAUAAAACGGUUCUGCGGAACUAAUUGAAGGUACCUGGUGAAUAAGCCACGGCUAACUACGUGCCAGCAGCGCGGUAAUACGUAGGUGGCAAGCGUUGUCCGGAUUUAUUGGGUUUAAAGGGUGCGUAG